rnacentral:lncRNA from 13 species
CUAAUAAUUUUGGUUUUGAUUUGUGUUUUCUCCUUUUUUUUAAUUGAUACAGUUACAUAUAAAUUAGAGAUCGAACACCUGGUAAAACCCAAAAGACUAUAAAGUCCAGGAAACUUUAGGACUCAUUGGUGGUCCCUGGAGGAGGUAUAUGCUGGUGGUGAGUGUGCGGAGGCAGAUCCUGGAGAGUCAAAGUGAAAACCUCCUCUUUUGACUUCAGUCUCUUUAGGUUAUCUGUUCUUGCUCUGAAGAGAGGCAUUGUGUUCUCAUCACCAUCCUAGGUGGACCUUGCUAUGACUGGAAAGAUAGUUUAUCUUAAAGGAAGCAGUCUGGUGAGCCUUAACCAAACAGCAGGAGAGGAGAUUUUCUUUUAGAACCCAGAAAUUUUUCCCAGGAGGGUGCCAUCAUAUUUACAGGAACCAUAGAUGUACAACUUCCAUUUGGCAAGAACCACUUAGAAUCCAGUCGAAUUCAACAGGAGUGCUGAACCUGGAAUCAGAAUACCCAAGUUUGAUUCUGCCUCUGAAGUCUUCUACUGUGACUUUAAGUAAAAUAAUUCAACAGAAACUUCAAUAUUUCUUAAGAACAACGUAUGAAGCAACACCAGAGUGCCACCAAUCACAGAAGGCCCCUUCCUCAGACUCAAUUCUGUCAAAACCAAGCUCUCCAAAGAAGACUUCCUCUGGGUAA